AUCCUCAGGUUCAUAAGUGUGAUGAUUGGGUGCUCAUGCUCCAUGCAUGACAUGUGCCUCCUUUGAACCUUGUUACGACCUCGGCACAUUACCCAUCUGACG
rnacentral:snoRNA from 1 species